UACGAAGGGGGCUAGCGUUGUUCGGAUUUACUGGGCGUAAAGCGCACGUAGGCGGAUCGAUCAGUCAGGGGUGAAAUCCCAGAGCUCAACUCUGGAACUGCCUUUGAUACUGUCGAUCUGGAGUAUGGAAGAGGUGAGUGGAAUUCCGAGUGUAGAGGUGAAAUUCGUAGAUAUUCGCAAGAACACCAGUGGCGAAGGCGGCUCACUGGUCCGGUACUGACGCUGAGGUGCGAAAGCGUGGGGAGCAAACAGG
rnacentral:rRNA from 1 species